AGGAUCUCUACUCCUGGCGCCGAAACCACAGACUUCUAUGGGCACAUGACUGAGACCCUGGUGGAAAGGGGACACCCCACCCCGGAUCUUAUAACAAAUCCGGAGUAAAAUUAAAGAACUACGCCAGGCUACGCCAGGGAGCACAACUCUCGCUUCAGGGCAGGACCCCACUCCUGUCCCUACUACAAGGAGCUCCACCAGGGGGUGGUGGUGGACACCCAGGGUCGCCCGCCCAGAGCUCGCAGCAGAGGAGGACGACAAGGGACAGCAGGGGCAGGAGGAGGAGGACACAGUAUAAGGACUAAAGGCUCUUUAUUAUUAUGAUGAACUCCAUGUUGUUUUAACAAACUCCAUCUUGGACAAUGGACUCCAUUUUGUCUCACUAAACUCUAUCUUGGAUUGUGCCCUGCAUUGGAAAACCAGCUCCAUCCGGUUUUUCCUGCCAGAGCUGAAAUCACCUCAGGUGUGCACUACACUGCACAUGGCAUGGGACAUUUUGUACACAGCACAGAGACAGUGCACAGAGACAGCGCCCUUACUGCUUUUCCCGCCUAAGGAACUUUAAAGAACUGUUACCUGAGGGGCUCUUGCUCUUCUCCUCCUGAUCACUUUGCUCUUCGGUCCUCUGGUUCUUGGCUUGUUGCUGAUUCUGGUCAUCCUGCUGUCGCUCCGUGGCGAAGGCUCGAGUGAGGCCUACCAUCCGGCUACGGAAUAGAAGCUGCCUAAGGACUGGAAUCGCUGAGCUGCUGUGGGUGCCUCCCAUUACAGCCUCCACUGAAGGGUGUGGAGAUUUGUGUCUGGGGACAUCCAGCAGAGCUUUUAGGUUCCUUUGCCUCAUUCCGGAAUCCUGGUCCUUGUGCUGAAAGCCCUCAGGAGCUCAAGGAAUCUGUGAUUAAGCUAAACUAGAACAACAUCUCCAUGGGAUCACCUAGUGUUUCUCCCUGACAGCAGGUUCCCUUGCUGAACGGAAGAAGGUCCUAGGCUUGCCUCCUUCCUCCAUCUAUACGUGUCAUCUUCCAUCUGAGCCAGACACCUUAACAACGGCCAGCACCUAGAUACUGAUCCCUGGAGCUGGUACCCCAGGGCCUGGACGAGUCUCAAGCAUCCUCUGAAGGCGGGGAGAGAUCAUCAGCCGAACCAGCCAUCGCUGAGAGGUGAUCCACACCAGUCGAGGCAGCCGAGGGACUCGAAAGCGCAUGAGGGUCCACAAAGACCUCCUAAGGCAGCAUGUGGGCAUCCUGCAUGAUAUGCAGCAGACCCUGGGGCAGAAGGUCCAGUAGGACGCUGAGUGGUGGAGCUGCAUGUGGGACCAGCUUGUGCGGCAGGGCGACAUGUGCCAUCAUGUAUGAAAUGAUGGAACACCCAUCUGCUGUCCCUGGUCCUGCCUCCCAAUCUCCUGCCCCCUUGCUAUGCCCAUUCCCCACCCCUGCCCUCUAAGCGAUGCCUCUGUUCCUUCUCCCUGGUCCCCUGCAAUCCCUGACCCUGCUCCAGCCCACCCUCAUCUUGUCCCAGGCCCCACCC